rnacentral:rRNA from 1 species
CCUACGGGAGGCAGCAGUGGGGAAUCUUGCGCAAUGGGCGAAAGCCUGACGCAGCCAUGCCGCGUGAAUGAUGAAGGUCUUAGGAUUGUAAAAUUCUUUCACCGGGGACGAUAAUGACGGUACCCGGAGAAGAAGCCCCGGCUAACUUCGUGCCAGCAGCCGCGGUAAUACGAAGGGGGCUAGCGUUGCUCGGAAUUACUGGGCGUAAAGGGAGCGUAGGCGGAUAGUUUAGUCAGAGGUGAAAGCCCAGGGCUCAACCUUGGAAUUGCCUUUGAUACUGGCUAUCUUGAGUGUGGGAGAGGUAUGUGGAACUCCGAGUGUAGAGGUGAAAUUCGUAGAUAUUCGGAAGAACACCAGUGGCGAAGGCGACAUACUGGCCCAUUACUGACGCUGAGGCUCGAAAGCGUGGGGAGCAAACAGGAUUAGAUACCCUGGUAGUCCACGCUGUAAACGAUGAGUGCUAGUUGUCGGCAUGCAUGCAUGUCGGUGACGCGAGCUACGACAUAAGACACUCCGCCGUCGGGGUAGGUACGGUCGGCGAGAAGUUAAACGUAACAACGUAGUAAGUUAGUACGGACGUGAGACGUGACCGACGGACGACGACGAGGGAGGUUAGGG